GACGAACGCUGGCGGCGCGCUUAACACAUGCAAGUCGAGCGAAGUGGCGGACGGGUGAGUAACCCGUGAGUAACCUGCCUUAGACAUUGGGAUAGCCUCGGUAAACCGGGAUUAAUACCAAAUGGUCUAAGAUGGACUCGCGUCCCCUUAGCUAGUUGGUGAGGUAACGGCCCACCAAGGCGACGAUGGGUAGCCGGGCUUGGAGGGCGAACGGGAACAUUGGAAGUGGGAAACGGUCCAAACUCUACGGGAGGCAGCAGUGGUGAAUAUUGCACAAUGGAGGGAACUCGGAUGCAGUGACGCCGCGUGAACGAAGAAGGCUUUCGAGUCGUAAGGUGCUUUUAUAUGGGAAGCGGUACCAAAAGAAAAAGCCCCGGCUAACUACGUGCCAGCAGCCGCGGUAAUUC
rnacentral:rRNA from 1 species